GACGAACGCUGGCGGCGUGCCUAAUACAUGCAAGUCGACGGGGCGGACGGGUGAGUAACACGUGGGUAACCUACCCAUCAGAGGGGGAUAACACUUGGAAACAGGUGCUAAUACCGCAUACCUUUGGAGCGGCCUGCGUCCGAUUAGGUAGUUGGUGGGGUAAAGGCCUACCAAGCCUGCGAUGGGUAGCUGGUCUGAGAGGACGACCAGCCACACUGGGACUGAGACACGGCCCAGACUCCUACGGGAGGCAGCAGUGGGGAAUAUUGGACAAUGGGCGAAAGCCUGAUCCAGCAAUGCCGCGUGGGUGAAGAAGGUCUUCGGAUCGUAAAGCCCUUUCGACGGGGACGCGGUACCCGUAGAAGAAGCCCCGGCUAACUUCGUGCCAGCAGCCGCGGUAAUU
rnacentral:rRNA from 1 species